rnacentral:rRNA from 1 species
CAGCCGCCGCGGUAAUACAGAGGGUGCGAGCGUUAAUCGGAUUUACUGGGCGUAAAGCGUGCGUAGGCGGCUUUUUAAGUCGGAUGUGAAAUCCCUGAGCUUAACUUAGGAAUUGCAUUCGAUACUGGGAAGCUAGAGUAUGGGAGAGGAUGGUAGAAUUCCAGGUGUAGCGGUGAAAUGCGUAGAGAUCUGGAGGAAUACCGAUGGCGAAGGCAGCCAUCUGGCCUAAUACUGACGCUGAGGUACGAAAGCAUGGGGAGCAAACAGGAUUAGAUACCCCUGUAGUCCCUGUCUCUUAUAC